ACGUGCGGAAGGAUCAUUA
rnacentral:rRNA from 1 species